rnacentral:rRNA from 1 species
AUUGAACGCUGGCGGCAGGCUUAACACAUGCAAGUCGAGCGGUAACAGAGAGAAGCUUGCUUCUCUGCUGACGAGCGGCGGACGGGUGAGUAAUGCCUAGGAAUCUGCCUAGUAGUGGGGGAUAACUUGCCGAAAGGUAAGCUAAUACCGCAUACGUCCUACGGGAGAAAGGAGGGGACCUUCGGGCCUUUCGCUAUUAGAUGAGCCUAGGUCGGAUUAGUUAGUUGGUGAGGUAAUGGCUCACCAGGACCGCGAUCCGUAACUGGUCUGUGAGGAUGAUCAGUCACACUGGAACUGGGACACGGUCCAGACUACUACGGGAGGCAGCAGUGGGGCAUAUUGGAGAAUGGGGGGAACCCUGAUCCAGCCAUGCCGCGUGUGUGAAGAAGGUCUUAGGAUUGUAAAGCACUUUAAGUUGGGAGGAAGAGCAGUUAACUAAUAUGUGACUGUUUUGACGUUACCGACAGAAUAAGCACCGGCUAACUUCGUGCCAGCAGCCGCGGUAA